rnacentral:sRNA from 1 species
AUUAACGUGAAGUAACACUUAUUAACGCUAAUAGCGAUGAAGAAUUUCUUAACUAUCUCUAUUAUUUACUAUGUAGGUUACAUCAUAUGAACCUCAGGACAUUUCUCCUUCAACCGAAACUGUUUUUUACAGAUUCGUUGUUCUACGCAAUGAUCACCCCAAUCAUUGCGUAUUUUUUUGCUUAAACAUUUUA